UAGAGUAGAAGCUCAGACUUAACUAUAUAAAAACCUGCCUCCCCUUGAGGCUAUAAAAGGGGAGGUAGGGCACCAUCUAGGGGCAGGUCGAACACGAUCACAACAGCUAACACACAAUCCAUCACGAGCGCUCUGCCACCUAUAAAGUCGAGAUUUGGGACCGCCUCCCUCUCUCGCAAUUAGCUUGUACCCUCCUACUACAAGCACUUCAGGUGCAAGAUAAUAUAGGAUCCAACCCCUUCACCGGAUAUAGGGCAUUGUUGGUCUGAACUAGUAUAAAUCCCUUAUGUUCUUCUUGCAUCACCAUCUAGGUUUAGAGACGCGCAGAUUCGUUACUUGUUAGUGGCUGGAUCACGUGUCAACAAUACUAAUUGAGUACUGUAGAUUUUUAAGGUUACCUAGAAGUCAAACAAGCUGCUACUGGUGUGUCAGGCUGCUGCAUCUUUGUCAGACCACUUGUAUGGUACAGUAGAGAAAGCAUCAUGUAACUUUACGGUCGUGGG
rnacentral:lncRNA from 1 species